UACGGAGGGUGCGAGCGUUAUCCGGAUUCACUGGGUUUAAAGGGUGCGUAGGUGGGAAUGUAAGUCAGUGGUGAAAUCUCUGAGCUUAACUCAGAAACUGCCAUUGAUACUAUGUUUCUUGAAUUUUCUGGAGGUCAGCGGAAUAUGUCAUGUAGCGGUGAAAUUCGUAGAUAUUCGCAAGAACACCAGUGGCGAAGGCGGCUAACUGGUCCGGUUCUGGACGCUGAGGCGCGAAAGCGUGGGGAGCAAACAGG
rnacentral:rRNA from 1 species